UACAGAGGUCCCGAGCGUUGUUCGGAUUCAUUGGGCGUAAAGGGUGCGUAGGCGGCUUUCUAAGUCUGGUGUGAAAUCCUGGGGCUCAACCCUGGAACUGCACUGGAUACUGGGAGGCUAGAGUACUGGAGAGGAAACUGGAAUUUACGGUGUAGCAGUGAAAUGCGUAGAGAUCGUAAGGAAGACCAGUGGCGAAGGCGAGUUUCUGGACAGUUACUGACGCUGAGGCGCGAAAGCUAGGGGAGCAAACGGG
rnacentral:rRNA from 1 species